AAUGCGAUAAGUAAUGUGAAUUGCAGAAUUCAGUGAAUCAUCGAAUCUUUGAACGCACCUUGMRMKCCUUGGUAUUCCGAGGAGUAUGCCUGUUUGAGCGUCAU
rnacentral:rRNA from 1 species